rnacentral:rRNA from 1 species
UACGUAGGGUGCAAGCGUUGCCCGGAUUUAUUGGGCGUAAAGGGCGCGUAGGCGGCUCUGCACGUUCGUUGUGAAAUCGCCCGGCUCAACUGGGCGGGGUCAGCGGAUACGGCAGAGCUUGAGCAAGCUAGGGGGCAAUGGAAUUCCCGGUGUAGUGGUGGAAUGCGUAGAUAUCUGGAGGAACACCGGUGGCGAAGGCGGCGUCCUGGACCAACACUGACACUGAUGAGCGAAAGCCAGGGGAGCAAACGGG